rnacentral:lncRNA from 1 species
UCCCAUCCCUAUAAAGUAACCAUUAUAAUCCUCAACAGUCAAAGAGCUUGCAGUCAUGGCUUCCAGCAAUCACAAAUGUCGAAAGAACCUAGAAAAAAAAUUAGAGCAUAAUCUCUGAGCGCCGGUACGGUAGUAAAUUGCUUGUAAUUUCCACACACACACAAAAAGCAGUGGCUAAAAUAUAGUGUGCACCAAAUAGCCCUUUGCAAUAUAAAGUUUGUUAUUGCAGAGAAAACACGAGCUAAGGUACUUUCUGGUGCAAAGCUAAUUUUUUUGGCAAAACUUUUGGCUGAAUUAUUUAGCCAUUUAUUCAGCUUUAUUUUGCCAAAAUAAAAGCUUAUUGUUUGUAGUUUAAAUUUUGUGUUUAUGUUGAAUUUAAGAUUGGCAAGCAAAGUGAUGAGAAUCUAUUAGCUGAAUUAUAUGUUGAAUUUACAUAUAUAGCCUUCAAAGUUCUCUGAUUGCAUUGCUCAAUUUUUUUUCCUAAUAUGUAACUAUUAUAGUGCUACCAAAUAAAUAUUUUCAUUGCAAGGUGUGCAAUGAGUAGUUUUGUUUGUCAAAUUUUGUGAUUUUGACUAAAGUCAAACAGUUAAAUUGAAUGGAUGGGGUUGGUUGAUUAUUCGAAAUACUUGUUUGUUUAUUUCUUUAUUUUUGAGCAUAUUUAUUUAAAUUUUGCAAAGCAAAAUGAUGAUGAACUAUUAGCCUAAUUUUAUGCUGAAGAAACAUAUGAUAUGCCUUCAAAGUUCUCUGAUUGACCCUAGUUAGAGUGAUAUUAUUGUUAAUCUUGUUAUAAAUUUUAAUGAAAAUACCUUACUUUUGCUUAGAAAAUGAAAUAUCGUUUAGCUGUCUUGGUGUAUAAAUUGUAAUAUGAGUACAUUGGAUCUAUUUUAGCUUUAACAUAAUGCUCCUUAUAACCUCAUUUGGUUAGGACCUUCCAUGGGGUCGCCAAAGUGAGUGCUCAUUGAUCAUCAGUAUUUGUUUUGAUGAUGUGGUUGGAGUGUCUGGAGUUAAAUAAGAUGGAUACAAUGCUGUCCUACUGUAAUUAUCUAGUUAGUUGGAAAAACAAGAUAAAUUUUGUAUAGGGUUUUUUGGGGUAUUUUCAGUUGGAAGUUUUGAUCUGACUAACAUGAAGGAUUUGAGCACCAAAAUACAUGGUCUGUCGUUUUAUACUAUCGUCAAACUAUACGAGCAUGGUGCUACAUUAAGGGUUUUCUUAUUAUAUGUUGCUACUUGACUCUUCAUGUUAAAUCAGCGGCAAAGGAUGUUUUGUGAAUAAGAAAUACAUUGAUCACAUUUUAAAACUACAAUCAUGUUCCUUAGUUUUAUGUGUUGUUACUGUCUGCCCUGUUGCAUUUCCCUAAUUUCCAUGAACUUUCACUCUAAUGAAACCCUAGUACUAUAAUAGAAUGGAGCUAGGGUGCGGCAUCCCCUGAUUUGAAAAUAAUGUUAAAGUCUAUGUUGCGCGGACUCUACAAAAUGUAGCCGCACCCGUGUCGGAUCUUUCAAAAAUGCACUAUUUUUGGAGGAUCCGACACGUAUCCGGCCACAUUUUCGGAUAGUCCGAGCAACAUAGGUUAAAGUGGCACUAAUUGCUUCUAGAAAAGGUUAUGUGGAAAAGUAUAAUCAUGAACAUUUUUUUGCCUUUUUUUUGUAUAAGACCUGUAUGAUAUUUGCCCUAAAAUAGCAGGCGAUAGUGUUUGGAGAGAUGGCGGUGACAUGUUUAAAUUUAUAGGAUACAUUUUAUUGUCUUCUCUGUUAUUCUGAACUUGGUUAAACAGAACAAGGGCUACUGAUAUUGAGAAAAUUUACUGAAAGUAAGAGGAUUGCUGUUUGCUUUUGCUUCUGUUAUCUAAUUCUUUGAAGAUUGAUUAGUUGUCUUGACUGAUGUAAAGGUUUUUGAACACCAAAAUACAGAGUCUGUCGAUUUAUACUUGCCCUCAGACUAUACGAGCAUGGUGCUACAUCAAGUAUUUCUUAUUAUCUGUUG